rnacentral:lncRNA from 1 species
CUGAGCCUUCUUCUGUGUUGGCAGCCUUCCCCAAACGUUAGCAAAGAUGACUGAGAGCAGCACAAGACUCAAGUUCUACAGCAUAGGAGCCCAGAAGAAAGAGCAUCUCUUUCCUGAUAAUUCUAGAAAUAGCGCUGAUCUCAUUGACAAACUUUCAGUCAUAUGCUCAACCUUGAAGCGAUCACGGUGGGCAGGGAGAAGGAAUCUUCUCAUUUGUCGGGCCAAGGUUACAUGCAUCCUUCUGGAAGGGCAAGUCAUGUCUAAGCCAGUUGGACUGAAGAUAAGCGAGAUUUGUUCUCCAAGAGUGAUGUUAUACAACGUUAGCUUUGGCGUCAGUGAAGGAAUUCUAGACAGGCAAAAAGCAACAGGAGCACUUGUCUAGUUCCUUCUCGAUCAUCCCUUUACCUAGAGCAGAGGUUAGUAAAUUUUGGUAUACAUAAGAAUCCCCUGGGAAAUUUAUUGAAAAUACUGAUUUCAGGGCCUUACUCCACGUUUGCGAUUCUGAGUCCACGUGUUCAGGCGUUGCUCAGAAAUUUGCCCUUGCUGCAAACACUAGACACAGGUGGCCCAGGUGCCAUAUUUUGAGAAACUAGGGCAGUAGGAUAAAGACACUUCUAGCAGUUCUCAGUCUUUGCUCUAUAUCAAAAUUGCCCACCAAAUCAACAUUUGCAGGCGUGAGGCUGGCAACGUCUCCCUUGACAUUGAUCCUCACGUGUUUCCGAUGUGCCCUAAAGCAGCACUUCUCGACAUCUACGGUGUAUAUGAAUCAGCUGGGGAUCGUCUUAGCUGCAGAUUCUGAUUCAGUAUGUUUAAGAUAGAGCCUGAGAUUCGGCGUUUCUAACGUGGUCUCAGGAGCUGCUGCUGUUUCUUGUCGGUGGACUAUUCUUUGAGCAACAAGAUGCCAAAGGCUGAGAACCACCUGUGUAUUUGAUUUGCAUAUUUUAAGGCUGUGUCCUUCAGCAUCUACUGGUCUGCCGGGCCAGCAUGAAAGGACCUUCUUUCUGAUAUGAGACACAGAGAUGCAUAACUUGUCCAUGGUCACACAUCUGAGUGGAAAGCUGGGAUUGGAACCGAAGAAGGUGCUCGAGUCUGAGCUCUUACCUGCUACAGACGGCUGCCCCUGACAGAAGAGAAGAAGGCUGAGGACAGAUCCGAGGGAGCUGGUCAACGCCCAGGGGGAAAGAGGAGGAAAAGGAGCAGUCUACCCCACAGUGACUUCUCCUCUUACUUCUCACCUCCGGCAGUGCUUUCUGACUUCACACCUCCUCUCUGUGAAGACAGUCCUCUCAUGAAGAGGGACAGUCGCUGGAGGGCAGGCUCCUUAUCUCACAUACUGGCGAGCCACAGGAGCUCAGGAGAUGGUGCUGGUUGAUCGGUUGCUUUGGGCAUAACCCACCUGUCCAUCCCUGUCAAGCAGCUGAGCAUUUUGACUUAUAAAUGUCACUAGUUGUUGAAAGCAAACAACUUUCACCCCAAGCACCCUCUGGUUCUUGGAUUAAGGAGGAGGAAUGUCAACAUUUCAGCCUGCAAAUGCUCUUGGGUUCAGGCAAUUCUCAACAUCAUGCCAGAAAAUUUUAUAACUGUGAAAAAAAAAUUGUGCAUAUGUGCCAACUGACUUGGCACAUUUAGCGGCUCUUUUAAUUAAAAUUCAGAUGGAAAUUUUAGAUUUGUUACUGAAUAAUCGUUGAUAAUUCCAGUGAACAGUUCAUUCUGAAUUGAUCCUAACCUGUAAGAAACGGCCAUUUAUAAAUUACAAAUCACUUUCUUCCCCACCUCUUCCCAUCUCCACGCCACUUUCACUUCUCUACUCUCAUCUCAUUACUGUUGUCUUCUUGCCUCUUGAUUAAGAAGAAAAAGAAAAAAAAGCUUUGUUCGUUAAAUACUGCAUUAUUGUGAGAUGUAUAUUGAAAUUCUGAUGUUCAGGUUUAUAAGUAUAAUCAUAGAAUUGCUGUUUGUCACAUGGAGUCAAUUUGAUUCAACAAACAUCUGAGGAGUGCCGGUGUGUGCCCUGCAGUGUACUAGGAGCUGGAGAGAGGAAGAUCACGCCCGGCCUCAGAACCACAGCCAGAUGAAUGUACGUCUUGAAAUACUACCACCCAAAACAGUGUCCUCCUUCCUGCUAUUACUAAAUGGUGAAUGAAAGCUACAGGCCACAUCCCUUCAGGUCCUAACGCCAUAUGAGUCACCGAAUAAUCAACAGCACGUAUUCGUGGCUCGCUCUCCGCAGCUCCCUCUUCUGUCCUACUCUGCAGGGUGGAGGAGCACUGGUCACUCUGAGGAGACACCUGGCACUGGGAUAACAGCUGAAGGAGUUGGGCCCGAGGACGGGGCUGGACCUGAGAUGUGUCUUCAUGCAUCCGAGGGGCUGGCCUGAGCAAGAGCAGUUAGACCUGAGCUCUGAGGCCUCCUAGGAUCAGACACAGGGCCAACGGGUGAAAGGCUCAAGAAAGUGAUUUCUACUGGUUCUCAGAAGGGAUUUUCUUACCGCCAGUAGAAUCAGCUCCUUGGCAGCCAGUGGGGCCACAGACUUCAUGGACAGGGCACUGACUUUGGAGUUUCUCUGGGAACUACCUUGGUUCCUGGAGAAGACCAGGUGGAAUACUUACACCUCGAAAGGCACAGAGAAAGAAUGCAAGUUCCACCAAGAAGGACUUUUGUUUCCUAAAUCCAGAUCUUUUACAACAUCUGCAAGCCUUUCGAGAUGAAUAAGGAGGUUUGGGGAUUAGUGAAAGGAUGGAUGGGCUUUGAAUUGUUUCUAGAACUACAUUUCUGUUCUUUUAAAGACCAGAUUUGUAAGACAAACACAGUUGUUUUUAAUUACUCAAAGAAUUGGGUUGCAAUCUGAAUGAUAUCAGAGGCCGACCCACCCAUCCAACUACAUUGUCUUCAAUUUGCCUCUUUAUAUCAGGGAGAAGAUCUUCAACUAAGAUGGAAAUCAAGAUUCCUAUGUUCUAGAUUUAGAGCUGUGUGUCUUUGUAAUGUUUUAGUAAAUCCUUCUAUAAAGGCUUCAGAACGUUUUUCUUUCCCUCUAGCUACAUAGGUAUAUUUUAGCUUAAGGGACAGGCCAAAAACAAAAAAUUCCUAUCAAGCUCUGAAUAUCAGCUUGCAAUCUGGCCAACUUCUGACCAUAGAGCUACUUAGAAAAAAAAAAUCCUUUCAAAUAUCUUGUCAGUUUUCAGCUAGAAUAAACAGUAAAUAUUCCUGGCAGUAUUGAAUGACCC